rnacentral:rRNA from 1 species
CAAUAGCGUAUAUUUAAGUUGUUGCAGUUAAAAAGCUCGUAGUCGGAUUUUGGCUGAGAACGAUCGGUCCGCCGUUAGGUGUGCACUGAUUGGUCUCAGCUUCCUGGUGAGGAGGUGUGCUUCACGGCCACUUAGUCACCGUGGUUACUUUGAAAAAAUUAGAGUGUUCAAAGCGGGCUUACGCUUGAAUAUAUUAGCAUGGAAUAACACCAUAGGACUCCUGUCCUAUUUCGUUGGUCUCGGGACGGGAGUAAUGAUUAAGAGGAACAGUUGGGGGCAUUCGUAUUUCAUUGUCAGAGGUGAAAUUCUUGGAUUUAUGAAAGACGAACUGCUGCGAAAGCAUUUGCCAAGGAUGUUUUCAUUGA